rnacentral:rRNA from 1 species
UACGGGGGGGGCAAGCGUUGUUCGGAAUUACUGGGCGUAAAGGGCUCGUAGGUGGCCAACUAAGUCAGACGUGAAAUCCCUCAGCUUAACUGGGGAACUGCGUCUGAUACUGGAUGGCUUGAGUUUGGGAGAGGGAUGCGGAAUUCCAGGUGUAGCGGUGAAAUGCGUAGAUAUCGAGAGGAACACCUGCGGCGAAGGCGGGUUGCUGGGCUGACACUGACGCUGAUGCGCGAAAGCCAGGGGAGCGAACGGG